rnacentral:rRNA from 1 species
AUUGAACGCUGGCGGCAGGCCUAACACAUGCAAGUCGAGCGAGCGGCGGACGUGUGAGUAAUGUAUGGGGACUGCCCGAUAGAGGGGGAUAACUACUGGAAACGGUGGCUAAUACCGCAUACUAUCGGAUAACCCAUAUGGGAUUAGCUGGUAGGUGGGGUAAAGGCUCACCUAGGCGACGAUCUCUAGCUGGUCUGAGAGGAUGAUCAGCCACACUGGGGCUGAGACACGGCCCAGACUCCGACGGAGGCAGCAGUGGGGAAUAUCGCACAUGGGGCGCAAGCCUGAGAGAGCCAUGCCGCGUGUAUGAGGAAGGCCUUCGGGUUGUAAAGUACUUGCGGUCGGGAGGCGGGACCGACAGAAGAAGCACCGGCUAACUCCGUGCCAGCAGCCGCGGUAAUAC